GACGAACGCUGGCGACGCGCUUAACACAUGCAAGUCGAACGGAAAGGCCUGCUUUCCCUUGUGGAUUGCGGGUACUCGAGUGGCGAACGGGUGAGUAACACGUGAGUGAUCUGCCCCCAACUUGGGUAUAAGCCUGGGAAACUGGGUCUAAUUCCCGAUAGGACUGCAGGGUGGUGCCUGUGGUGGAAAACGAUUUUCUAGUGGUUGGGGAUGAGCUCGCGGCCUAUCAGCUUGUUGGUGGGGUAAUGGCCUACCAAGGCGGCGACGGGUAGCCGGCCUGAGAGGGUGGACGGCGACAGUGGGACUGAGAUACGGCCCAGACUCCUACGGGAGGCAGCAGUGGGGAAUAUUGCACAAUGGGCGGAAGCCUGAUGCAGCGACGCCGCGUGGGGGAUGACGGCCUUCGGGUUGUAAACUCCUUUCGACCGCGAGGAAGCCACCUGGUUGGAAGGGUGGUGACGGUAGUGGUAGAAGAAGCACCGGCUAACUACGUG
rnacentral:rRNA from 1 species